AGCAGUGUGAGAACAGACUAACACAUAUGCCCUGCAUGGGAGAGCUCAUUUCAUUAAUGCUAAAGUCAACAGAGCCUUGAAAGCGGCUUACAGGCAUGGCCUCAGGAAGAGCCAAGAGCCACCAAAUGUGAUCCCCUCUUCUACCCCUAGGAGCCCCUUGACCAGCAGACUUCCCAGGAUGUAAAGGAGAAGAGCUCAAGGAAUUGCCAUGAAGAGUUAGUGUAGAGAGUAGUUUGGUGAUGAGUCAAUGGUCAUUCAUCCCCCACCUCAUGGUGCAAGACUUUGUAGUGAAUCUUCUGAGUCCUGUGUCUCAAUUUCCUUAUCGAACAAAUGACAUGGUGGUCCUUGCCCUAGCUAACCCAUAGGAUUGACUUGACUUGAAAACCCUGAAAUGUUACUCGGUGGUGGGCUUCAGACUCCCCCAGGCAGGAUCCUGCAGCUCUGGGCCAUGCAUAUGCCUCUGUGGACAGGGACAUCAUCAACUCUCUAUCCAGCCCGCUCCCCACACUCUCACCCCAUGGCAAAGCCUGAGCUUUGUGCCUGCUAGAGUGAGAAGAGUCUCACUCAGGGAGAAUCUUCCUCCUGGCAGAGAACAGGCAGCACUCUGGGUGUAUGUCUGGGACCCCCACCCACUCUGGCCAUCCUCCUGUGUGAGGAUAGGGAGCCAGGUGAGGCCACCCCCUCCAAGUUGCUCCCUUCAAGCUACUGUGCUUUGUGCUUUCUGGUGUUUCAGUUUAUCUUCUCAGGAUUUGGAAUUGGGAAGCAGGACACUCCUUCAGCUCAGAUAUUUGCUUGUGCCCCAGACUCCAGAGACCCUCUCCCCACCUCCUUUCCUCCCUUGCCCCCUUCCAUGGGGACCGAGAGGGGCUCCUGCCUCAGGCCUUGGGGAGGGGCUCACAUGCCCUUUGGAGACUUCCAUGGAGAGACAGUGGCAGAGGAUGAAAAGGAGGAGCUAAAGAAGCAGAAAAAGGAAAAGAGGAGGAAAAGCCAGGAGAUUACAAGGGAUCAAGGAGAGGCUGUUUAAGUACAUGGCAGCAUACCCAGGAGCUGGGCUCUUGUGGCUAUGGGGGCUGGAGGCUGCAUGGCAGUGGACGCUGAGAAGAAGCUGUGCAUUCGAGAAGCCGAAAGAAGAUGGUCUGUCCUCCCGCAGGGGCCUCAGGGACCUCAGGCAAUGCUGGGCUCUCAGAGGGUAGGGUGGGGGCAUCCAUGCCCUCAUCUUGGCCUAGGAGGCAAAAGGUGUUUAUCUGAAGCACCUCUGCAUGGGGUGGACAUCAGACAAAGACAGUGUGUGUGUUUAUGUGUGUGUAGAUGCAUGUGGGAGACACGUUUCAGUGUGCAGACUGCGUGCAUUCAUAUCUGUGUGUUUUCGAAUGUGCAGGCCAAGCUCCAGACAGUGCAUGCCUGUCAAAGAGGCCCAUGGGCAAUCUGAAACCAUGACUGGACACCAGCCCAGGCUGCGACAGCCCAAAGGACAGCCCUCUCCCCACAUCAGGGCUGCUCUGACCAUGUCCCAGCUUAAGCAGGGCAGUUGUCCAAGGCUAUCACCUUGCUCUCUGCUGGGCUCAAUUCAUGACUGACAGGUGGCCAGGACCCAGUGGUUUACCAGGGACUUUCUCCCUUAGGCUCUCACAUGAUCCUGGUAAAAACCGUGUGGUGCACAGUACAGUUCUCUUUACAGAGACAGGAACCAAAACUGAGAGUCUCAGAAAACUGCCUUUGGAAGUCAGAUCCAGUAUUGUUUCCUUUGCCUGCAAAUGUUAUUAGGUACUGUUUCUGUAUUUUGGGGCCAUCUCCUCUUACAUCUCUACCCUUUUAACCCCUAAGGGUCAGAAAUGUGCAUAGAAGGCCAGAGUAGGGACCUUGCUUUACACAUCCAUGUUCUUUGUGACUGGACUUAAAUGGUGAGGGUGAAGGUGGGUCACAAGUCCAGAGUUUAGCUCCUGGGAGACCUUCCUCCAAGGCCUGGGGGCCUACAAAUUCCAAAUUCUAGACUUACAGGGAUUUUAAAGUUGGGAGCAGCUCUGUAUAGGAGGGAAGAGGUGCUGCUAUCAGGAACUCAGAGAGGAUUUUUGGAAUCUGUUGGGACUGUGUUCGAAUUCCAGUUAUGUGACAGAGGCCAAUCAGUUCUCUCUCUCUCUGCGUCUCAGCUUUCUCAUCUAUAAAAUGGGAAUCUAAUAAAAAUAAAAAUAACAAAUACUUGUAGAAUGCCAACAAGAUGUAAGACUCUAUUUUAAGUAUUUAAUAUAUAUUAAUUUAAUCUUUACAACAAUAUUGUGAGUCAGGAAUAUUAUUGCCAUUGAACAGAUGAGAAAACUGAUUCUUAAAAUAUUAAGUGAUUUGUGCAACAUCACAGUGUUCGUACACAACGAAUAUGGGACUUGAGCCCAGCAGUCUGGCUGCAACAUCUGUGUUUAACCACUGCAAUACUUCACAGCAGGACUGGAUAACUACCUGAACCUUGGGUGGUAAAAAAACAGCUUAACAACAUGUGGUGGUUUUAAAACCUGUCUGCAAACUCUUUGAUACGCCUCCAUCAAAAGGCAAAAUCUAGAUCUCCUCCCCUUGAAAGUCCGAGAUAAACUGUGAGACAGACUUCAAGAAUUAGGAUGCAGUGAACGGGAUGCUAUGAAACUUCCAAGGGUGGCUUAGGAAAGACCUUUGGCUUCUGCUGGUCUCUCUCAGGAUACCUGCUUUGGGAGCCUUCUGCUGCUGCGUGAGAUCCCUGGCUACCCUGGAGAGACGUCAGACAACAGGUGAGACGCCCGAGAGCCCUGGCUGUCUGUGUCUUUGCAGCCCAAGCUCCGGACAUGUACUGAAGAAGCUUUAAGGAUGAAUUCAGUCCCAGCUACUCCCUGGCUACAACUGUAAGACAGACCCUCCCAAGUAAGAACUGCCUAGCCAAGCUCAGGCAGCUCCAAGAUUUCAGGGCAAAAUAAAAGAUGGUUCUAUCUUUAAGCUACUGUUGGGGUGGUUUGCUAUACGGUAGUAGAUAGUCAGAACACAACAUUUACUUUACAAUAGUUGUAAAGUAAGGAAUGAGGAAUCACUGAAAAUGUAGAUGUCGAGCCCCUGGUGGGGACUGCCCCCUCGCUUUCCCUCAUUCCUCUGCACUCUCUGGGUAUCCUCACCAAUACCUCUUGUCUUAAAACAGAAGCUACUUAUACACAAGUUCCAUACCCACCUCCACCAGACUCUGGAAACCAGUGUCGUGGAUUGCAGCUUUCUCACCUGUAACUGGUGAUCUUCACAGCUCUUUAAAAAACAAAAACACUGCACAUGAUGCUACCACAUGGAGGCACUGGCACGUAUAGACAGGGAAUUAUCGGCACCUGAAGUCAUUCCAGAAAAGCUCCUGGAACUUACACUGGGCACGCUCUGUUGCUGACCUCUCUUCCUUCCCUAAGUACGCAUUAGGUUCACACUGUGCCAACUUUUCCUUAGAUUGUGGUUUUGUGCAGGUAAAGGCUUUAGCUUUAUUUUAUUCUUCCAUGCAUUUUGUGGAUUUCAUCACUGAGACAGAGAAUAAUGCAUAUUAGAGUAUAAUGAGGGAACCACAGGCCUAUCUGAGGGAAGAGAAGUGGAAAAUGAAAGAAUAAAAGGAAAUGGAGAACAGAAUAAAGAAAGGCUAAGGAAAAGAAAGAAAGGCAUAGAGAGGAAGAAACAAUCAGAAGGAGGAGAGAGAGAGAGAAAAGAUAAAAACGUGGAAGGCAAAUGAAAGGGAAAUGAGAGAAAGACAGGACAGGGCUUAAGAUUAAAGACAAAAUGCAACGAGGAGAAAGUGGCCAUUUCAUUCUGACUGCUCUGCCCUCAGUUGAAUCCUGCAGCCAGGGAGCCUGGAGGCUGCAGUCCCCAGAUCUGCCCACUGCACUUGGUGCCAGGGCUGGCCUUGCACACAUAGCUCUUGCCUGCAGCUCAACACCCUGAGCUCCUUAAAUAGCUUUGAACCGCACUGAGUGGUGGAUAAACAUUUGUUUCACAGCUCACAAAGCAGAGCUGCUGGCUACCAGCAGGUUUGAUGUAAUGAGUUCCAUUCUGGACCCCGGGGAGCAUUUAGAAUGGGCUCUUCUUUGCCCAGGCUGCCAGUCAAGCUGGUACCAGGGGGAAAGAAAAAACACAACACUAAUCUCUUCCCCACCAUCCCUGUCCAGAUUUGGAGUCCCCAGAAACCAAAGUACUGCAUUCUCAGGGGAUGGGAUUAAGGAGCAGGGUGCCCCAGGAACCUGAAAUGUGAGUGCCAGAAAGGGUGGCUAGAUAACCUCCUUUUUACGCAUCCUCAGGAAAUUACUUGGACUCAUGAGCAGUCCAAAAUCCACUCACUUCUCAGGAGCUGAGAAUUGCAGACAGAGUCUCUGGUCUCAUCCCCUCUCUGCUUGCUCCACACAGCCUUCUUCUGCAGCUGUGGAGCUCAAUUCUUAAGAAAGGAGAUAGCAGUAGAACAGCCUGGCAUUGCUGCCCUUGGUUGGCAGCUGCCCUCCUUGACCACUGCUCUCUACCACCCAGAUUGUGCCCAGAGCUUCCUGUUUACCUCUGUGCUCAGAGAGCCACAGUGCCCUGUGUUUUGACCCCCAGUCCCAUCACAGCAGGGGAGGGAGGGUGGUGGGGAAAGGGCUGCUGAUCCUCCUCUUUGUUUCUCUUUCCCCCCAAACUCCCCACUCCAGGACAAUAUGACAUGCCGCCGGAAGGAGCUGAAGACCAGUUGAUAUGAUGAAUAAAUGGUAAUUAUGCGGUUGGCCUUUCGGCACUUCCUCUGUGGAUAUUAAUAGCCAUUAAUGCCCUGCUGUUUUGCACUGCACCAGAGUCUGCCAGACAGAGCACAGGGCAGGUCACUGCCCCAGCCCUGUGCUCAUGCCCCCCCACCAGCACUGCCUCAUUUGCUUCAGAAUUUCAGGAAGGAAAUGAACUAGCAAAGACAGUGGGUAGAAAAUUAAAAGGGGUGAAAACAAAUCCAAAGGGGAAGUCAUUUAGAUUUCCAGGCAAAUUGGUUGUUGAAUUGGCUUCUUGGACUGUUACGAUUGGGAUCUCCUAGGGGUCAUCUUGUCUCUUUCCAGAUUCCAGGCAGGAGUCACCAUGAAAACUUAUAUCCUUUUCCUUAGAGUUACUGGGGCUGAGAGAAAUUGGCAGAUGAGUACAGAGGCAGACUUGAAUUUCCCCACCAAUGCAAGCUGGGCAAGAGCAGAACUGACCAGGCUUAAAUGGCAGAAGUGUAGACAAAAGUGGACAGCCUGAAUCCUACCAUUCUUUGUAGCAGCAACGUAGUGUACGGAAGGAGCAUAGGCCUUGAAAUCAGAGCCUGGGGUUAACCAGCUGGCCCUACUACCUGCUAGUUCCACACUCUGGACUACAGGAGAUAACAAAAAGAGUGUAGCCACAGCAUGAGAAGACUUAACUUUAUCGCUGUGUGACCUUGGGUAACUUACAUACCUUCUCUGGACCCUACUUUUCUCAUCAGAAAAAAAAUUUCCUAGAACAGGACAGUAUAUAAUUAAUAAAUACUAGUUCUUGUCAAGUAGUGUGUUGGAGCUACUGUGUACCAGCUCAUAAGAGCCAAUGGUAUGCCUCCCUUCCCAAAUUUGUGUUCAGUGAACAUCACAUUGGUAGCCUGAAUUUGGCCAUGGUAGGAAUAUUUACACCAGAGAAACUGGUAAUGCUACAAAUUAGGUCUAUUCCCACCGCCACCCUGCUUAGGAGAACUGAUUGUUCAACAUAUACCAGCAAACGGCUGUGCCUGGCUGUUUCAGCUGUUUGGAAUAGUGGGGUCUUAGAGCAUGUCCUUGGGCUCCUGAAAGCCACAGACCAGCCCUUUGGAUGAUCUAUUUGCCUCCCAUACACCUCAACAAACUGUUCACUUCAAACAGGGAUUGUCAAAAUCUCCUUGAGGCCCUAUUAGAAAGCUGCAGCUCCUUGAUCUAUUCAGCACCAAGAGGCAAUUGUCGAGGAAGUUGAUUGUAGUUCAAAUCCAGGUAUCAAUUCAAAAUGUUUUUGCCUCAGACAACCGCGUGCGAUCAAUCAGUAAUGUAAUCCUCUGCUGGUAGAACACAAAAACAAAGCCCCACCUUGCCUCGUAAACACAACAUCAUUAGUCUUAGGAUAAACUAUAAAUUGAUGCAUAGAGCAAACAGCCAGAGCUGUGUCCCAGGGAAUGGGAGCAGAUGAAAUAGCAGUACUUUAUGGUGAAUGACAAAUCAUUGCUCGUUCCGUUCCCUAUCAAGUGGAACACCAUCAAUCACAUGGUGGACUCGUUGGGUUCCAAGACAGAUAGGACACCACAAACAGAUGCUAUGGCUGGGACUGCUGGCCUGGGCAGUGCUGUACUUUUUGCUUUUUCUGGAGGGGAAGAAGAGACCAAUCCACUUUCUGUAUGGUCCUGUCCUUCAUUCAAGUUUAUAACGAUGAGUAAGUCAAGGAAUCCCAUCAAUCAUAAUGUCCUUGAGAAUGGGAACCUUCAUACUUUUCAUGUUGCACAAAGUCCUGUUUGAAUGGCAAGGGAAAGGCCAGGCUUCUGACCAAAGAAAGAAGGAGCAGAGGACAGAUCAACUGCUUUUUUGAUUUCAGAAAGUCAUUAAAAUCCUGUCUGUCCUCAUAUAGUGACUCUCAAUCUCUGGGUCUGCCAUAGUGCCUGUAAUCCAACCCCUUGGGUCACUCUUUUAUAUUAAGGUAUUAUGUUCAAAAGGAGCAUAUUACCACGUGCAUCCCAGCUCCAACACAAUGGGUCAUUAUCUGAGCACAUAAUAGGUGCUCAGUAUCUAUCUUCUAAAUGGAUAAAUGAAAGGAUGGAUGCAUGAUAACACACAGUAGGUAGUUUGGAUGGAAGGAAAAGAGGAGCAGGAAAGGAGUGAGAGGUAUGAUUAUAAAAUUGACAUUAGAGUAGGUGACACUGCUUUCAGGGACAGGAGACUGGAAUGGGUGAUCCAAAAUGAGGAAAGGUGAUGUAAGAGGGAAAAUAGGAAGUCCUUGAAGAUAAUACCCAUCUCUUUCUAGUGUUUCCUAGGGCCAGUUGGUUUUUAAGCAAAGCAUGUUGAGGGAAAAAAAAUCAAGGCCUAUCUCUAUUCUAAUGGGAACAUGAGGUAAGGAGGAAAAGUUAGGUGGUUGUGAUUGGCUGUUGCUCAUGAAUAAUCCCACAGGCCCUAUUUCUGGCCACCUGCCAUUCAUGGGGCCAGGGAACUGAGAAGCAAUGGAAUCUUUCUGACUGCUGAUUUAAUUAAAUGUGGCUAGUCUGUGACAGAGGCUGACUCGGCACCAAGCCAAAGUCACAGGUAAGUUGGUUAUGUCAUUGAUGGGUGAGUCCAGCCUCAUGCUUGACCAAAUCAACCAGUCAUUUGGGAUAUCUGAAGACUUACGGUUAGCAAUUGAUCCUGCUAUGGUGCUGGAAGACACUGGUGAUUUGGUUAAAACUCAUAGAUAGAUAGAUAGAUAGAUAGAUAGAUAGAUAGAUAGAUAGAUAGAAAAAAAUAUACUGACUGAUUCAGGCAAUCUGACAGUCUGGGGUAGCUACAACUUUAGUGAAACCAAGUAUUUGCCACUAUGUAGUGAAAACCAUGUUUGACUUAUCUCUCUUUUUUCAUUUCACCUAGUUGUUGUGGACAUUGUGCUGACACACCUAAGGGUGGUUUGGAAACAGUUGGCAUGUUUUCUUUAUGUAUUUUUCACCUUUGCCAUCUGUAACUGGGAAAGGGUAUCCUUCCUCCUGCCGGUUCUCCCCAGCUGAAGUCUACACAACCUUUACCCAGACAUCAGAAACAGCUGUCUCAGGCAGAAGGUGCUUGACUCCAGGUGGGCACUCAGCAGCAAGGGCAGGUGAGAUAAUGAGCAACAAUAAAGUCCUUUUCAAGGAGGUGGGAGUCUGUUGGAGAGGUGAGCUGGUUAGCAUAUGCUGGCCCUUACUUGGCUCCUAGCAUUUGUUCUUCUGUGCAGCUUGUUUCUCAGUGUGAUAUCAGAUUUACUCUUCCUUCUCUUCCUCCUUUCCUGCCUUCUUUUUUCCCUUCAUUUACUGUGCAUGGCACUGUGCUUGAUGCCACAGAAGAGUCAAAGAUGAUGCAGCUAUCACUCAUACCCUCAAGGAGCUGGCCACACUCUACCUAGAGAAAAGCAAAGUGCUGGGUACACAGAAGGACUAUGUGACGAAGCGCCAUCACAUGGCUGGUAGCCUGUGGUGAGUCACCGGACUUCUCGACUCCCACCUCACUGGGGUGGAAGGAACAGUAACCACAAUGCUCCGCAACUCGGGCUGCACCCGUAUGAUUGGAAACAAUCUGUGAAAUUGUGGAGUGAACGACCCCGAAGAAACAGACUUCUAAUUCUAGCCUUUUGGAGAUUAUUAACUCAACUCCCAGAUUUUAGAGAUGAGGAAAGGGAGGCCCAGGGAGGUGGGGAUACAUGUCCAGGAUCACAGAGGUGAAAAGUGAGUUUGCUUGGCUAAGUUCAACUGUACCUACUUGUCUCCAGAGACUGCUCAGGAACUAGAACACCCUGAUACAACAUAGGCACCUGUGAUGGAGAUAUUCCCUCAAAAGUGGAAUGGGGCAUGAAGGAGAAUUGUCUCCUAAAAGCUGGGAAGUUUCUCCUAAUCCUUUUUAGGGUACCUUCCCUGUAUCCCAACUGCUCUUCAACUGCCGAAACUCAUGUCAGUCUCCAAAGAACAGUGUCCAAAUGUGUAUGAUGCCACAUUGGCUGAAGUGUGCUCUAAUUGUGCAGAUAUUCCCAUAAAUGCUAUUUUAUUAAGCUGAGCUACACUAAAUCUGUCAUCUCCAUAAGUAAUACCACAGCAAAUCUGUAGGUAAGUUCAGAACACUGCAGUGAGCCAUGCUGGGCUAUUAGUUUCAAUUCAACGCUGUUUCCUGUAAGUUACAGCAUCUCAGGCGCACAACUUAGGCACUGAGUAAUAAGAUUUGGUUCCUUCCAGAUGCCCUCAGCUCCCCAAAACAACAGAAAUGAUCAAAGACAGAGGCAAGAAAACCAGGGAACCCUAAAUGUUUACUGUCUCUAAAGUGUUUGGAAACAGCUUGGACCAGUGUAGAGUGCUGAACAGAGAAUCAAGAGCAUCAGGUUCGAUUCCCACCCUUACGAACUGCUCAGCCUAUGAAAAUUACUUUGUGUUUCAGGCCUCACUCUUGUCAUCUUUAAAAUGGCAACACAUAUACACACCCCUCCGCAGUAAAUACAGAGGUUCUGCAAGCCAGGACAUUAAGUACUUAGGAUGAAAAUGAUGACGAUUAAGUCUAUUCUAUCACUUGAUCCGAUUCUCUCUGACUAUUCUGCAGGGGUAAUAACAUGGCCUGCAGAUGAUCCAUAAUCCACUAUCUUCUGGUGAAAAGAGAGGAAAGGGGUGUGUGUGUGUGUGUGUG